CUCUGAUAGCCUAGCUAAUCCUCUAUUGAGCAUCUCUUGAGUGAAUUGAAGAAAUGUACUAGUUUCGAGGGACGUCGCGGGAGGUAGAUGGCGCUAGAGGGAGGCCGCAGGCGACGAGGGAGGCAGCGGGAGAGGGAGGCGACGCUGGAUGUCUAGAGGCUAGGGCUUUUGUGCAGAGGCGGCGCUGGAAGGACGCCGCGGAAGGUCAGCCCGCGAUGGCUGCUGGAGGGACACAACGUAGGAGGGAGAGGGAGGUCGCAGGCGACGAAGGAGAUAGCGAGAGAGAGAGGCGGCGUUGGAUGCUGAGAGGCUAGGGCUUUUGUGCGGAGGCGGCACUGGAAGGAGGCCGCUAGAGGUCAGCAAUGUCGGAGGGAGGGGGCGUUGGAUGUCGAGAGGGUAGGCCUUUUGUGCGGAGGCGGCGUUGGAAGGAGGCUGUUGGAGGUCGACAACCUCGGAGGGAGGGGGAGGCCGCAGGCGACGGUGGAGGGAGGAGAGUUCAAGAGGCUAGGGCUUUUGGCGUUGGCGCGUGUACAUGUUUGUCACGUGAGGGGUCCAGGGGUGGACCAGGAAAAAUGAGUCCAGAAGAUCCGCCCCUCUCGACGCGAACCAGAGGAUCUGUCCUCCUCUCGACGUUGCCGCCGCCAUCCUUCUGGGUUGCCGCCAUCCUUCGGAGCUGCCUGCCGGACGUCGACCCUCACCUCGAGUAGAUCCCUCACCCAUGGGAAGCCCAUACCAGACGCUUGAUGAGGUUCGAAUUCGACGUCGAUGCGUAUAUGUUGAAAUGAUUGCUUCGUCUGUAUUCACAAUGCGGUUGCUUGGAAGCCGCUCGAUCGUUGUUCGACAAAAUGCCUCAGCGCGAUAAUGUCUCGUGGACGACCCUCAUGUCAGCGUAUGCAUGUACAGAUCGUGCGGAAGAAUCCUUGAUAUUGUUCUGCGAGAUGGUGACGGAUGGAGCUCGCCAAACGCUGUUGCUCUUGCCUCCUGUCUGAAAUCUUAUUCAGUUUGUGGAGACUUGGAUUUCGGGCAGCAGUUGCACGGGAUUGUUAGACGAGGUCUGUCAAUUCAUUGUUUUGUGAUCAAGAGUGGGUUGGAACAAGAUGGGUUCUUAAGUAGUAGUCCAGUGGAUAUGUACGCCAAAUAUGGUUUGUCUAUGUAAGCUCAUAAGGUCUUCAUUAGAACUAUUGAUCCUGAUAUUAUUGUCUGGAGUGCGAUUAUAUCAUGCUUUACUCAGCUA